CCCGGCUAACUUCGUGCCAGCAGCCGCGGUAAUACGAAGGGGGCGAGCGUUAUCCGGAUUGAUUGGGCGUAAAGGAUUCGUAGACGGCUUUAAGUAGUUAAAAGUUAAAGAUUAAAGCUCAACUUUAACAAUGCUUUUAAAUACCAACAUUGAAGCUUGGAGUUUGAAAGAGGGUAGUAGAAUUUUACAUGGAGGGGUGAAAUCCGAAGAUAUGCAUGGGAAUACCAAUGGCGAAGGCAACUACCUGGUUCAAUACUGACGUUGAGGAAUGAAAUCGCGGGUAGCAAAGAGGAUUUGAUACCCUAGUAGUCCGUGGAGUAAACGAUGAGUGCUCAUGUUUAGAUCAGUGAUUUAGGCAUCUAGCUAACGCUUUAAGCACUCCGCCUGAGAAGUACGAUCGAAAGGUUGGAACUCAAAGGAAUUGGCGGGGGUUCAUACAAGUGGUGGAACAUGUGGUUUAAUGCGAUAAUCCGCGCGAAACCUUACCAGUUCUAGACAAUGCAUAUUUUUUUAUGAAAAAUGUGUGAUCAGGUGUUGCAUGGCUGUCGUCAGCUCGUGUUGUGAGAUGUUUGGUUAAGUCCUUGAACGAGCGCAACCCUUGUACUUAAUUGAUUAAAAUCCCUUUAAGUAGACUGCUUACAUUUGUAAAGAGGAAGGCAAGGAUGACGUCAAGUCCUCAUGGCCCUUAUGAACUGGGCUACACACGUGUUACAAUGGUAAGAACAAUGAGAAGCACGUUGGUAACAAUAAGCAAACCUAAAAAUCUUACCUUAGUUCGGAUUGUGGACUGAAACUCGUCCACAUGAAGUUGGAAUCACUAGUAAUCGCAAAUCAUCACGUUGCGGUGAAUACGUACCUGAACCUUGCACACACCGCCCGUCACAUGCCGGAAGUAAAUUUUACCUGAAAACUAUUUUGUUUUAAAUUAAACAGUCUUUUUGUUUGUCAGUUUGUGUCAAAUGAUUUCUGAAUAGUUUAAACUGUAGGUCAAGGAAAGAUUUGUAACUGGGAUGAAGUCGUAACAAGGUAGUCGUACGGGAACGUGCGUCUGGAA
rnacentral:rRNA from 12 species